rnacentral:tRNA from 1 species
GGCUUGUAACUCAGAUGGUUAGAGUAUACGCUUGAUAAGCGUAAAGUCGAUAGUUCAACUCUGUCCAAGCCUA